GGAGGCUGGUGGUGGACGGGCGCUCCGCCAAUCCGGUCAGGUCCGGAAGGAAGCAGCCGUAACGGAUUUCGCCCGGGUCAUCCGCCGGUCUCUCAC
rnacentral:SRP_RNA from 1 species